UAUACCCUCUACAUCUUCCCCAAAUGUGCAAUUCCCCUUCACCCAAGUAUACCCUUUACAUCUUCAUCAUUCUACUUUUUUUAAAGGAAGCCAUCUCAUUAAAUAUCAAUAACCAACCCCAUCUAGCAAGUAACUAGAUGAGACACAUUACUAAUUACAUCAAUAUGCACCAACUCUAAUCAACACUUACAUUCACUCCUUUAAACAAUGUACCCACAUAACCACAAAACCAUCAUAACCACGCAUAAACUUGCCUUUUUUCCUUUUCUUUUGAAGUUGUAGAUCACCCACUCCUAUUGCAAAUUCAUUGACCGUUAAGCAAUGCACGAUAGCUGGGACUUCAAUCCACACGUUAAUGAUCUCCAUACAGCUUUAGUAGCUAGGCAGACUCCACCAUAUAACUGCAAUGCUAGCAGUUUGGGCUCCCAACAUUGACCGCACGUUUCAUCAAUUCGCCUGUUGUUUGAAUUUUCCUAGCCACCACUCUCUACACGAAAAUGUUUACCUUCGGGAAUGCCCAGUUGCACCACCUCAUUACCUCAUUAGGAAUCUUCAUUCGUUCUGAUUGAUUAUUGGCCUUACUCAAAUCUUCGCCAACUGCCUUAACCAAGAGGUACAACCCUCGAUCCGCUUUCCAACCAUGUUGAUUGUCCUAAACCUUUAUUUGGCAACCUUUGAGCAUGUUCAGUUCCCAUUAAUUUUCCCCAUUCGUUUUGGUGAUUGCGGGUAUUACACUUCUAAUCCCAUAACCGAUUUGCUAUUUAACACCUCAUGCACUGGAUUUUAAAGUUUUCCUUCAUCGUGCCAUAAACCAUCAAUAUAGGUCCGAUAACCCCCUACUCCGGUGUCUUAUACGAACGGGAAGCUCGCCCUGAACUACCAUACCCUCUCCAAUCACAACAUGGAAAUCCAUGGAGGAAAACGAAGUAAAAUCUUUCAAAUUCAUUUAGCGAUAUGUUGAAGAAAUCUAAUGAUUGCAUCACAAUUUUAUGUCAUGAUUAGUUGAUAUUGUAUGUUUUGCUUAUCAACUAUUGAAAGCUUGCAUGAUAGAGGAUGGAAAAAUCAUAGUCUUCAUGAAAGAUAACAUAGCAAGAAAUCCCAUGAAUUCUAAGCCUUAGGGUUAUUAAACAUGAGGGAUAUCCUAACAACGCUUAUAGGGAGUCCCCAGAGUAUGUUGCUUUCUUUUAGAUAUAUUUUCGAAGUAAAGUAGUCAUAUUUUAUCAAUUAACUCAAGUUUCUUAAGGACUACACCGACAUACUGGAUGAUUGCUAAUAUGAGGGGAGUUCUUUAUGUUGAUAGAACUCGAGUAAAAGGAGGAAGUGGCAAGAUUUUGAAUAGCAAUCCACAAGAUACAAUCUUCCUUUACUUUGUUGGUCACGGACUUCAUGGGAAACUUUAUUUCGAUAAUGAAACUUAGAUGUUUGAAGAAUUCCCAGAUAUUUUCCAAGGAAUUCAUAAACGUCAUAGAUACAAAUUGAUGGUAAACCAUAAUCUUAAGUCCAUUUAUGGACUUUUAUAUGAAAGCAUGAAUAUUUAUGUGAUGACUUCGGCUAAUCAUACCGAGCCUUCUGCUAAAACACCUAAUGACAUCGUGUUUAUGUCCCCAUAGGUGGUUACUAUAGUUUGGCUUGGAUACGAGAUAGGUGAGGAAGAAAGUGGCUACGGCCUGCAUGAAAACUACACUAGUGGGUUUCAAGUACUUCAUACAUAUGAGUUCACAUGUUACAAAGUAUGCCCAACAAAAGAUUACAAACAAGCCACUGUCCUAUUAUCAAGGAUACGAUCCACAUCAAGAUAAAGAUAUAAAACUCUAUAAGCAAAGGUCUAGUUAUGAUUCUACCCACUUCACCCAUGUAUAUAUGCAAAAUGUAGUUGGGUUACUUAUGUAUUACUACUUCAAUUGUUUGUUAUGACACUUGCAAUGUUUUUUUUUUCCUUUUUCAAAG